rnacentral:rRNA from 1 species
UGGCCUACGGGGGGCAGCAGUAGGGAAUCUUCGGCAAUGGGGGCAACCCUGACCGAGCAACGCCGCGUGAGUGAAGAAGGUUUUCGGAUCGUAAAGCUCUGUUGUAAGUCAAGAACGGGUGUGAGAGUGGAAAGUUCACACUGUGACGGUAGCUUACCAGAAAGGGACGGCUAACUACGUGCCAGCAGCCGCGGUAAUACGUAGGUCCCGAGCGUUGUCCGGAUUUAUUGAGCGUAAAGCGAGCGCAGGCGGCUUGAUAAGUCUGACGUUAAAGGCUUUGGCUCAACCAUAUGUCG